GAUGAACGCUGGCGGCGUGCUUAAUACAUGCAAGUCGAACGGAGUGCUAGCAAUAGUACUUAGUGGCGAACGGGUGAGUAACGCGUUGGUGACCUGCCCCGAAGAGAGGGAUAACAGUUCGAAAGGACUGCUAAUACCUCAUGUUGUUGCCGGGUUUAGAAGCUGGUAACUAAAGGCGUAAGCCACUUUGGGAGGGACCUGCGUCCCAUCAGCUAGUUGGUGAGGUAACGGCUCACCAAGGCGAUGACGGGUAGGGGACCUGAGAGGGUGGCCCCCCACAAUGGUACUGAAACACGGACCAUACACCUACGGGAGGCAG
rnacentral:rRNA from 1 species